AGACAUUUCUCUCUCUCUCUCACUGUCUAUAACUCUACCUGUGAAAUAAUAAAGAAAAAAAGUGUCCCUCUUUCUAAAGGAGAUAAAGCAGCCCAACUUUAUGUUUCCAUUACACCAGGUAUGGAAUUCCCCAUCUUUAUGACUCACCAGGAUCUUGAAGAGAUGAGUGUGCAAGUGAAAGGAGAGACAGGAGAGACAGGACAUGGAAACAGUUCCUCUGCAAAGUGCUGCCAAACUAACCCGGUUGAACAACAUGCAUACCCAACCUCAGGACACCAGAAUAUAUAAGCAAAUGUUGACAGCUCUGAAGGGAUAAACAGCAAUGGAACAAACAGAAUGUAUUACUACUCCACUUUCAAGAGUGGUAGAUUUGAGCAAUAUUAUAAAUCAACUUUUCCUAACAGUUAUACAGAGAGCAUUCUACCUGACAGCAGCAGAACAUGUGUUCUUCUCAACAGCUGUCAACAAUUCUCCAGAAUUUUAGGAGUCCACUGAAAGGGGAUGAUUUGGAAUGGCAGACUUUUGACCCAGCUACAGAAAGUCUCCUCCCAACUGAUGUUGAGCUCUCCCAACUGAUGUUGAGCUCCGUAUCAAGAACUGCCAGCUGAGGGAUCCAUGCUACACUCCUCUGCCAAGGUAGGACCCUCAUCAGAACAAAGCAUGAAAAUCUGCAUAAUUGUUAAUCAAAUAGACUCAUUGUUCUAUUUCCAACCUCACUCUGCAACUGUCCUGUUGGCUUGUUGGGAAAGAGCUCACUUUGGAUUGGGGGAUCUCUUUCCCCCAAGAGUACUGGAUUUUUUAAAU